AAAAAAAAAAAAAAAAACUCCACAGUCAUAUUUCAUCUCCCCAGCUUAUGAACUUGAAUUCAAGUAGUGGCAAGUAACUGAUAAACUCGCUCGCUCAAAAUCUAGAAUAUGCAGAAUCAAUAUACAUUGUUUUCGUUUGGAACAGAUGAUAAUAGCAACAAUGGCUUUAUUCAUCUUUCAAUUUUUCAACAUUCAAGGUAACCCUUUUCUUAUCCCUCUCUAAACCCACCUUUAAUUUCUCAUUUUCAUUAUAAAGUUUGAACCUUUACAAUCAAAUCUAUGGUUUUUGACAUGGAAAAGAGUAUUUACACCUUCUUAACCAUACACCGUUGGGAAUCACUCAACCGCAUGAAUUAUAGAUUAGGUUCACUUAGACCUAUUCAUGGAAUGUUAGCAUUGAAAUUCCUCAAUUGGGUCAUCAAAAAACCUAAUUUAGAGAUUAAUCAUUUGACUCACAUCAUUUCCACAACUACCCAUAUCCUUGUUAAGGCUAGAAUGUAUGGUUAUGCUAAAACAACAUUGUCACAUAUGUUACAUAUGGAUGUUGGUUUUAAUAAUGUUUUUGGUGCUUUGAUGGAGACAUACCCUUUUUGUAAUUCAAAUCCAGCUGUUUUUGAUUUACUUAUUAGGGUUUGUUUAAGGGAGAAUAUGGUUGGUGAUGCUGUUGAGGCUUUUCGUUUGAUGGGUUUUCGAGGGUUUAGUCCGUCUGUGUUUACGUGUAACAUGGUGUUAGGUUCGUUGGUGAAGGAUCGUGAGGUUGAUUUGUUUUGGUCUUUUUUUAAAGAAAUGAUUGCUAAUAGGGUUUCACCGAAUGUUGCUACGUUUAAUAUAUUGUUGAAUGCUUUGUGUGAACGCGGCAAGUUUAAGAGUGCUGGGGUUCUCUUGAGGAAAAUGGACGAAACCGGUCAUUUUCCAACUGCGGUUACCUAUAAUACUUUGCUUAAUUGGUAUUGUAAGAAAGGAAGGUAUAAGGCAGCGUCUGAGCUUAUUGACGCCAUGGCAUCUAAGGGUAUUGCGGCCGAUGUUUGUACCUAUAAUGUUUUGAUAGAUGAUUUGUGUAGAAAAAGUAGAAGUGCAAAAGGUUAUUUGAUAUUGAGAAGGAUGAGGAAGAAUAUGGUGUAUCCUAAUGAGAUAACUUAUAAUACUCUUAUUAAUGGACUUGUUAAGGAGGGGAAGAUUGGAGUUGCUACAAAAGUUUUUGAGGAGAUGUCAUUAUGUAACUUGUUACCCAACAGUGUUACUUACAAUACAUUGAUUUUUGGGCACUGUAGCAAUGGCAACAUUGAGGAAGCGUUGAGACUUUGUGAUGUGAUGGUUUCACAUGGUUUGAGACCUAAUGAAGUGACGUAUGGUGCUCUUUUGAAUGGGAUAUCCAAGCAUGCUCAAUUUGGUUUGGUUUCCAGUGUUCUUGAGAGAAUGAGGAUGGAUGGCGUGAGAGUCGGUCAUAUUAGUUAUACAACAAUGAUUGAUGGAUUGUGUAAGAAUGGCCUUCUUGAAGAAGCUGUACAGUUGCUGGAUGAUAUGUUAAAAGUUUCUGUUAGUCCUGAUAUUGUUACAUUUUCGGUACUCGUCAAUGGGUUUCUUAAGGCGGGGAAGGUAAAAAAUGCAAAGGAGAUGAUGUGUAAAAUGUACAAGACCGGGCUUGUUCCAAACAGAGUCUUGCAUUCAACAUUAAUCUACAACUACUGCAAGAUGGGAAACCUAAAAGAGGCGUUAAAUGCUUAUGCAGUUAUGAACCAGAGUGGUCAUGUUUCAGAUCACUUUACAAGUAGUGUGUUAGUUGCCUCUUUUUGUAGAUGCGGGAGACUUGAAGAAGCCGAGUAUUUUGUGGACCACAUGAGCAGGAUGGGUCUUGCUCCUAGCUCUGUUACUUUUGAUUGCAUUAUAGAUACCUACGGAAAUUCUGGGGACGCAUUAAAAGCGUUCUCUGUGUUUGAUAAAAUGAAUAGUUUAGGCCAUUUACCGAGCCAGUUCACAUACGAGGGUCUAUUGAAAGGACUUCUUAUUGGCGGACAUAUUAAUGAAGCCAAAAUAUUUAUGCAUAGACCUAGUAGCAUUCCUUAUGCCAUUGGUAGUACUUUCUACAACACGAUGCUUACUUUGACAUCAAGAUCAGGAAAUUUAUCGAAUGCGGUUGCCCUUCUUGAUGAGAUGGUUAUGAAUAAUUUUGUGCCUGACAGCUUUACAUACACUAGUCUUAUUGCAGGACUAUGCAGGAAGGGUAAAAUGGUCCCUGCCCUCCUUUUGUCAGGAAGGGCAAUUGAAAAAGGAUUAUUAUCUCCAAAUCCUGCUAUGUACACUAGUUUAGUUGAUGGUCUUCUUAAGGAAGGACAUUCAAAAGCUGCUUUAUAUAUGUUUGAAGAUAUGUUAAACGAAGGUGUUCAACCUGAUGCUAUUGCAUUCAAUGUUCUUUUGGAUCGAUACUCAAGGAAGGGAAAAAUGUCAAAGGUAAAUGAUAUCCUUUCAACAAUGAGGAGUAGAAGUUUAUGCUUCAACUUGGCUACUUACAACAUUCUCUUGCAUGGAUAUUCUAAGAGGCACGGCAUGGCAAGAUGUUCUAAGUUAUACAAUGAAAUGAUCAUACACGGUUUUGCACCUGAUAGGUUAACAUGGCACUCUCUAAUUCUUGGAUAUUGUAAGUCUGGAUCAUUGGAUGUUGCUGUGAAAUUUUUAAGAAAGAUAACAGUUGAAGGUUUCAAAGUUGAUUGUUUUACGUUGAAUGUGCUUGUUAGUAAGCUCUGUGAACGGAAUGAGAUAAAAAUGGCCUUUGAUCUGGUAAAACAACUGAAUAUGUUAGGAGUUACUCCUAAUGUAGAUACAUACAAUUCCCUUUUUAAUGGAUUCGUUAGAACUUGUUCUUUUGAUGAAGCCCGUUGUAUUCUGCAUGCUUUGUUGGAAAAUGGUUAUGCUCCUACAUGUAAACAAUUUACCACGUUAAUUAGGGGCAUGUGCAGAAUGGGAAAUGUGAAAGGAGCAAUGGAGCUUCAAGAUGAGAUGAAAAUACUUGGGGUCAGCUCCCAAGGUGUUGCUAUGAGUGCUAUUAUCAGAGGGCUUGCACGUUCAAGGAAGACUGACGAAGCUACUCGCAUUCUUGGUAUCAUGCUUGAGAUGCAAAUCAUUCCAACUGUUGCUACUUUCACGACAUUAAUGCACACCUAUUGCAAAGAAGGUAAUGUUGCCAAGGCAUUGGAAUUGAGGAGUGUAAUGGAACAAUGUCAUGUGAAGCUUGAUGUUGCUGCAUACAACGUUCUUAUAUCUGGCCUUUGUGCCGAUGGUGAUAUUCAAGCUGCUUUUAAACUUUAUGAAGAGAUGGAACAAAGAGAUAUUUGGCCUAAUACCUCUAUAUACAUAGUUCUUAUUGAUUCAUUUUUGUGUACUGGAAACUAUAUCGUUGAAAGUGAAAAGCUAUUGAGGGAUUUACGGACCAGGGAAUUGAUGUCUUUGGAUUUACACGGAGGCAUUGAAAUACUGAAUGAAUUAUUGAUGAUCGCAAGGAAAGAGUUAAUUCAUACGAGGUACAAAACAAAAAGAAAAUAUGGUUAAUCGCAGGAUGCGUUUUCCUCUUCCAGAAAUGUGAGUUGGCAGAUGAUGCUGAGACAGCAGUAUUGUUCCUCAGCUAAUAUAACUGAUCUGGUUGACAUCACACGAACAAAGUCCUUGUUCUCAGAAUAAGGUUGUAGACAGUGCUAAGAGAAGAUUAAGUGUUGGAGAAAUAACUGCAAAUGUCAUUGAGGAAACAAGUGCUGCUACAGAUGGUAGAAUAAAUGAGGAAGCUUCUCGGAUGUUGAAGUUGAAGUUGGAAGAAAAUUUGUGGAAGCAGGAAAUAGAGAGGAUUGCAGAGGAAAACCUUUUACAAGGGACAAAUAUGUUUGCAUAUCCUCCUCCUGGGGUUAAACCCGAUAGAUAUAGAAGUGUUUCUUAACAAGAACCUUUCAACAUUAAGUGACCAACCAGUCAUUCUGAUGUUGAUAGCAUUUAAUGAUUGGAGGUAGAAAUCUUUUAGCACCAGAUUGAAUAAAACACAUCUCAAGGAUGAUUGGUGGAGUUGCCAAUCAUUAUGUGCCAAACGCUAAGCUACUCUACUGCUGCCUCAUCAUCUCAGCCACUCCGUUUGCGUUGUCGUCGUCACCAACUCCAUUCAUCUUCCCUCUGUGUGAUUCCGGAACAGCAACACGGCGGCAGAGGAUGAUGAAAGGAACGGCGGCCGAAGUUGCUGUCUUCGCGGAUACAGAUUUGGGUACUCACAUUGCUUUCAAUGUCCCUCCUCACAUUACUACCGGAGCACUCAAAAGAGAUUUUGUGAAAGUGCACUUCACUUGUUUACCAGACAUAGGAGAGAUCCAAGUUCAUGGAUUAAUGGUGAAGCGAAAAUCAAGCUUCUACUACCUGCCUGAUUCACUUCCUAUAAAGUAUGUUUUCCCAAAGACGAGAGAUACAUGGUGUUACUACCUGCCUUUGGCUAAGUUAAGGAAACAUUUUUCUGGAGAUGAUGAUGAGACUGAAGAAGUUAUAAUAACUGUGCAGCGCUAAGAUGAUUAAAGGAAGAAGGAUACAUCUUCUAAGAGAAGGUUUGCUGUCAAUUUGGAUAAUACCACAUCUUGUGAUCAAUUAUCCUUGAAGAAUAAAACCAGCCAGAAAGCAUUGAAGUUUGCACAUACAGUUCGAAACGGUGUUACGGAUGUUGUGAAGUCUAAUGGAAAGACGCUUUCAGCAUCAACUGCUAAUAGUGUUGGCAUGAAGGAUGUUAAAAAUAAGAACUCUGAUGACACCAUUUACAGAAAGACCACUGAUUGUAUCUCCAGAGAGAAACUAAAUGUUAGGUUUAUGGCAUAUUUUUACUGCAUUCUUGUUAUUUCUCAGCUUCUUGUUUCCUGUUGAAACUUACCUGAUUGUUGUAUAAUGUCUGUAUUAGUUUUCAGGAUGGAUUCAUUUUAUUUUUGGUUUGUUAUUCCUAUUUGCUGCAACAAAUAAAGUAUCAAAAUAAAAAAGGAAGCAUCAAACAGACGGUGUCGAAUAUGGGUUGUGUUGAGUCUUGGAAUUUUAUUUUGUAGUUGAUGAGAAUUCACACAGACCUUCUAAUAUGGUUCUUCCUAAGCAAACAUGUUAUUUUUAUUUCACUAAUACAUUUACGUA